UACAGGCUUAACACAUGCAAGUCGAGGGGCAGCACAGGUAGCAAUACCGGGUGGCGACCGGCGCACGGGUGAGUAACGCGUAUGCAACUUACCUAUCAGAGGGGGAUAACCCGGCGAAAGUCGGACUAAUACCGCAUGAAGCAGGGGCCCCGCAUGGGGAUAUUUGCUAAAGAUUCAUCGCUGAUAGAUAGGCAUGCGUUCCAUUAGGCAGUUGGCGGGGUAACGGCCCACCAAACCGACGAUGGAUAGGGGUUCUGAGAGGAAGGUCCCCCACAUUGGUACUGAGACACGGACCAAACUCCUACGGGAGGCAGCAGUGAGGAAUAUUGGUCAAUGGCCGAGAGGCUGAACCAGCCAAGUCGCGUGAGGGAUGAAGGUUCUAUGGAUCGUAAACCUCUUUUAUAAGGGAAUAAAGUGCGGGACGUGUCCCGUUUUGUAUGUACCUUAUGAAUAAGGAUCGGCUAACUCCGUGCCAGCAGCCGCGGUAAUACGGAGGAUCCGAGCGUUAUCCGGAUUUAUUGGGUUUAAAGGGUGCGUAGGCGGCCUUUUAAGUCAGCGGUGAAAGUCUGUGGCUCAACCAUAGAAUUGCCGUUGAAACUGGGGGGCUUGAGUAUGUUUGAGGCAGGCGGAAUGCGUGGUGUAGCGGUGAAAUGCAUAGAUAUCACGCAGAACCCCGAUUGCGAAGGCAGCCUGCCAAGCCAUGACUGACGCUGAUGCACGAAAGCGUGGGGAUCAAACAGGAUUAGAUACCCUGGUAGUCCACGCAGUAAACGAUGAUCACUAGCUGUUUGCGAUACACUGUAAGCGGCACAGCGAAAGCGUUAAGUGAUCCACCUGGGGAGUACGCCGGCAACGGUGAAACUCAAAGGAAUUGACGGGGGCCCGCACAAGCGGAGGAACAUGUGGUUUAAUUCGAUGAUACGCGAGGAACCUUACCCGGGUUUGAACGCAUUCGGACCGAGGUGGAAACACCUUUUCUAGCAAUAGCCGUUUGCGAGGUGCUGCAUGGUUGUCGUCAGCUCGUGCCGUGAGGUGUCGGCUUAAGUGCCAUAACGAGCGCAACCCUUGCCACUAGUUACUAACAGGUAAAGCUGAGGACUCUGGUGGGACUGCCAGCGUAAGCUGCGAGGAAGGCGGGGAUGACGUCAAAUCAGCACGGCCCUUACAUCCGGGGCGACACACGUGUUACAAUGGCGUGGACAAAGGGAGGCCACCUGGUGACAGGGAGCGAAUCCCCAAACCACGUCUCAGUUCGGAUCGGAGUCUGCAACCCGACUCCGUGAAGCUGGAUUCGCUAGUAAUCGCGCAUCAGCCAUGGCGCGGUGAAUACGUUCCCGGGCCUUGUACACACCGCCCGUCAAGCCAUGGGAGCCGGGGGUACCUGAAGUCCGUAACCGAAAGGAUCGGCCUAGGGUAAAACUGGUGACUG
rnacentral:rRNA from 1 species